rnacentral:rRNA from 1 species
CAGAGGGUGCGAGCGUUAAUCGGAUUUACUGGGCGUAAAGGGCGCGUAGGCGGUGAUAUGUGAAUGGUGUGAAAGCCCCGGGCUUAACCUGGGAAGUGCAUCGUUGACUAUAUGACUGGAGUAGAUGAGAGGGUGGUGGAAUUUCCGGUGUAGCGGUGAAAUGCGUAGAGAUCGGAAGGAACGUCGAUGGCGAAGGCAGCCACCUGGCAUCAUACUGACGCUGAGGCGCGAAAGCGUGGGGAGCGAACAGGAUUAGAUACCCUGGUAGUCCACGCUGUAAACGAUGAGGACUAAAGGUUGGUAGGGGAACCUAUCAGUCUUGAAGCAAACGCGAUAAGUCUUCCGCCUGGGAAGUACGGCCGCAAGGUUG